UUGCGUAUUAUGUGAUUUCUGAGUGUGUCGUGGUAAAUGCUGUGAGGGAUGGAUUGAAUUUGGUGCCUUAUAAGUACACUGUAUCUAGGCAGGGUAGCCCUUAUUUGGAUGAGGUGUUGGGACUUGAGGGAUCAGCCGCUCCAAGGAAAAGUGUCAUUAUUGUCUCGGAAUUUAUAGGAUGUUCUCCAUCUCUAAGUGGUGCAAUUCGAGUGAAUCCAUGGAACAUCAGUUGUGUGGCCGAGGCCAUGCAUUCAGCAAUUUCAAUGCAGGACUUGGAGAAAGAACUGCGCCACGAGAAACAUUACAAGUAUGUUACAUCGCAUGAUGUUGCCUAUUGGGCCAGGAGUUUUGAUCAGGACCUCGAAAGAGCUUGUGCUCAGUAUUACGAAAACAGGUGUUGGGGCAUUGGCUUUGGUUUGAAUAUCCGAGUUGUCGCCUUGGGGCCUCAUUUCAGGAAGCUUUCUGUGGAACACAUUGUUUCUGCAUAUAAGAAUACUAGUAGUAGGCUUAUCCUUCUCGACUAUGAUGGUACCAUGAUGCCACAAGAUCUAAUUGACAAAUCUCCAUGCCGUGCAGUUAUUUCCGUCUUGAAUGGUUUAUGCAAUGAUCCAAUGAAUGUUGUGUUUAUUGUUAGUGGCAGAGGGAAGGAUUCAUUAGAAAAGUGGUUCUCUCCAUGUGAGAGACUCGGGUUAUCUGCAGAACAUGGCUACUUCACCUGGUAAUAUUUCACUCUAUGUACGACUAUGAAUGUCGUGUGUGUUUUUUCCUUGUUUAAUUUACCAUUUUUUUCUGCUAGGUGGACUACGAAUUCUGCAUGGGAAUCUUGCGGUUUAGUCGUCGACUUGAGCUGGAAAAACAUAGUUUUGCCUAUAAUGGAGCAUUAUACGGAGGCUACUGACGGUUCAUCGAUUGAACAAAAGGAGAGUGCUUUAGUGUGGCAUCAUCAAGAAGCCGACCCCGACUUUGGCACAUGGCAGGCAAAAGAGCUUCUUGAUCACUUGGAAAGCGUGCUUGCUAAUGAACCCGUGGUGUAAUAGUCAAUCCUGGCCGAUAAAUUCCAAACCAAACCCAUUGCGUACAUUAUAUUCAUAUUUGUAAGUCGGUCAUCUUUCAUUCUUAUCCUCCUUGCACUUUCCUUGUACAGAAUAAAGAAAAAAAGCAUUUUCAGUACUAGGUGGUAUUAAUCUUGCCUUUUAUACCAUGAAUUUACACACUUUUCGGUUUGGAUUAACACACACAAACAAGAAGAGAUAACCCUUUUGAAGUAAAUAGAUUAUUCUGUUUUUAUACUGAAGUUACUCUACAUUGGGAUCUUUAUCUGUUGUGUCAAGAAAAUCCAAGAUUUUGCUUUCCUUGUACAGAAUAAAGAAAAAAAGCAUUUUCAGUACUAGGUGGUAUUAAUCUUGCCUUUUAUACCAUGAAUUUACACACUUUUCGGUUUGGAUUAACACACACAAACAAGAAGAGAUAACCCUUUUGAAGUAAAUAGAUUAUUCUGUUUUUAUACUGAAGUUACUCUACAUUGGGAUCUUUAUCUGUUGUGUCAAGAAAAUCCAAGAUUUUGCUGGUGUUUUUUUUUUUUUUUUCCUCAUUAUGUUGUCGAGAUCUUAUUUCAAUCUGUUGAACCUCGAUGACUAUUCGAGUGGAGGUGAUCGGGCCCGGGUUCCGAGAGUGAUUUCCGUUCCGGGAAUCAUAUCUGAUUUUGAUGAUCGUGAUGAAGGGGUAGAAUCUGAUGCCCCUGUUCAUCAAGAAAGAAGAGUCAUUGUAGCCAAUCAGCUACCUCUAAAGGCAUAUAAAGAUUCAGAAACCAAUAAAUGGUGCUUUGAUUGGGAUGAAGAUGCCUUAAUUUUACAAAUGAAAGAUGGGUUUUCACCAGAUGUGGAAUUUGUGUAUGUGGGGUGCUUGAGGGUGGAGAUUGAACCAUUAGAACAAGAAGAAGUGGGUCAACUUUUGUAUGAAAAAUUCAAAUGUGUGCCUACCUUUCUGUCAUUGAAUUUGAUGAACAAAUUUUAUCAUGGCUUUUGUAAGCAUUAUCUGUGGCCUUUAUUUCAUUACAUGUUGCCUUUUACUCCUGAUCAUGGAGUCAGAUUUGAUAAGGACAUGUGGCAGGCUUAUGUUUCGGCAAACAAGGUUUUUGCUGACAAGGUUAUGGAGGUUAUCAACCCAGAUGAAGAUUAUGUUUGGGUACAUGAUUAAAGGUUGCGUAUUAUGUGAUUUCUGAGUGUGUCGUGGUAAAUGCUGUGAGGGAUGGAUUGAAUUUGGUGCCUUAUAAGUACAUUGUAUCUAGGCAGGGUAGCCCUUAUUUGGAUGAGGUGUUGGGACUUGAGGGAUCAGCCGCUCCAAGGAAAAGUGUCAUUAUUGUCUCGGAAUUUAUAGGAUGUUCUCCAUCUCUAAGUGGUGCAAUUCGAGUGAAUCCAUGGAACAUCAGUUGUGUGGCCGAGGCCAUGCAUUCAGCAAUUUCAAUGCAGGACUUGGAGAAAGAACUGCGCCACGAGAAACAUUACAAGUAUGUUACAUCGCAUGAUGUUGCCUAUUGGGCCAGGAGUUUUGAUCAGGACCUCGAAAGAGCUUGUGCUCAGUAUUACGAAAACAGGUGUUGGGGCAUUGGCUUUGGUUUGAAUAUCCGAGUUGUCGCCUUGGGGCCUCAUUUCAGGAAGCUUUCUGUGGAACACAUUGUUUCUGCAUAUAAGAAUACUAGUAGUAGGCUUAUCCUUCUCGACUAUGAUGGUACCAUGAUGCCACAAGAUCUAAUUGACAAAUCUCCAUGUCGUGCAGUUAUUUCCGUCCUGAAUGGUUUAUGCAAUGAUCCAAUGAAUGUUGUGUUUAUUGUUAGUGGCAGAGGGAAGGAUUCAUUAGAAAAGUGGUUCUCUCCAUGUGAGAGACUCGGGUUAUCUGCAGAACAUGGCUACUUCACCUGGUAAUAUUUCACUCUAUGUACGACUAUGAAUGUUGUGUGUGUUUUUUCCUUGUUUAAUUUACCAUUUUUUUCUGCUAGGUGGACUACGAAUUCUGCAUGGGAAUCUUGCGGUUUAGUCGUCGACUUGAGCUGGAAAAACAUAGUUUUGCCUAUAAUGGAGCAUUAUACGGAGGCUACUGACGGUUCAUCGAUUGAACAAAAGGAGAGUGCUUUAGUGUGGCAUCAUCAAGAAGCCGACCCCGACUUUGGCACAUGGCAGGCAAAAGAGCUUCUUGAUCACUUGGAAAGCGUGCUUGCUAAUGAACCCGUGGUUGUUAAAAGAGGCCAGCACAUUGUUGAGGUGAAACCACAGGUAGUGAUCAUAAAACAAACUCAAGAUUUAUCGUGGAAAUCUGUUUCUCCCCACCCUUACCAACUCCUUCGAUGGAUGUUGCACAUUGGAAUACUCAAUAGCGGAUUCUUCCAAUGCAUGAUUUCUGGGUUCAAUAGAACUCAUAAUUAUAGAGAGUUUUUUUCGUUCUAUCACUAUAUUACACCUUUGACCUGAAAUAUUGUAGUUAAUGGAAUAAGCUUGAGUUAUUUGGGCCCCGGAAAAAGCUGAGGAAACUGACUUUUUUAAAAUGCUGAAUCUGUUAAAAGGGUUUCAUGAAAGAUUUUGAAUCCUCAUGUUUAGGAUUCAAGAAAUGCUGGUGUUUUUUUUUUUUUUUUCCUCAUUAUGUUGUCGAGAUCUUAUUUCAAUCUGUUGAACCUCGAUGACUAUUCGAGUGGAGGUGAUCGGGCCCGGGUUCCGAGAGUGAUUUCCGUUCCGGGAAUCAUAUCUGAUUUUGAUGAUCGUGAUGAAGGGGUAGAAUCUGAUGCCCCUGUUCAUCAAGAAAGAAGAGUCAUUGUAGCCAAUCAGCUACCUCUAAAGGCAUAUAAAGAUUCAGAAACCAAUAAAUGGUGCUUUGAUUGGGAUGAAGAUGCCUUAAUUUUACAAAUGAAAGAUGGGUUUUCACCAGAUGUGGAAUUUGUGUAUGUGGGGUGCUUGAGGGUGGAGAUUGAUCCAUUAGAACAAGAAGAAGUGGGUCAACUUUUGUAUGAAAAAUUCAAAUGUGUGCCUACCUUUCUGUCAUUGAAUUUGAUGAACAAAUUUUAUCAUGGCUUUUGUAAGCAUUAUCUGUGGCCUUUAUUUCAUUACAUGUUGCCUUUUACACCUGAUCAUGGAGUCAGAUUUGAUAAGGACAUGUGGCAGGCUUAUGUUUCGGCAAACAAGGUUUUUGCUGACAAGGUUAUGGAGGUUAUCAACCCAGAUGAAGAUUAUGUUUGGGUACAUGAUUAUCAUCUCAUGGUGCUACCUACUUUCCUGAGGAAAAGGUACAAUAGAGUAAAGCUUGGAUUUUUCCUUCAUAGUCUUUUUCCUUCAUCUGAAAUUUAUAGAACUUUGCCUGUUAGGGAGGAAAUUUUGAGGGCCCUUUUAAACUGUGAUCUUAUUGGAUUCCAAACAUUUGAUUAUGCUAGGCAUUUCUUUGAUUAUCAUCUCAUGGUGCUACCUACUUUCCUGAGGAAAAGGUACAAUAGAGUAAAGCUUGGAUUUUUCCUUCAUAGUCUUUUUCCUUCAUCUGAAAUUUAUAGAACUUUGCCUGUUAGGGAGGAAAUUUUGAGGGCCCUUUUAAACUGUGAUCUUAUUGGAUUCCAAACAUUUGAUUAUGCUAGGCAUUUCUUAUCAUGUUGUAGUAGAAUGCUUGGAUUGGAUUACCAAUCCAAGAGGGGGUAUAUUGGUCUAGAUUACUAUGGUAGAACUGUUAGUAUUAAAAUUCUACCUGUUGGAAUUCAUAUGGGUCAGAUUGAAUCAAUUAUGUCGUUACCGGACACUCCUAAGAAAGUUAAGGAAUUGAAGGAGAAGUAUGAUGGGAAAAUUGUGUUGUUGGGUGUAGAUGAUGUGGACAUGUUUAAGGGUAUUGGUUUGAAGUUUGAAGCCUUUGGGCAGCUUUUGGACGAGAAUCCGAGAUAUAGGGGAAGUGUUGUUUUGGUUCAAAUUAUGAACUCCCCAAGGAGUCAGGGAAAUGAUAUCCAAGAGGUUCAAAACGAGAUUAAUAAUGUUGCGACAGAAGUUAAUCGACGAUAUGGUAGUGCAGACUAUGAACCAAUUGUUUGUAUCAAUGGCCCUGUUUCUUUUCAAGAUAAGGUUGCGUAUUAUGUGAUUUCUGAGUGUGUCGUGGUAAAUGCUGUGAGGGAUGGAUUGAAUUUGGUGCCUUAUAAGUACACUGUAUCUAGGCAGGGUAGCCCUUAUUUGGAUGAGGUGUUGGGACUUGAGGGAUCAGCCGCUCCAAGGAAAAGUGUCAUUAUUGUCUCGGAAUUUAUAGGAUGUUCUCCAUCUCUAAGUGGUGCAAUUCGAGUGAAUCCAUGGAACAUCAGUUGUGUGGCCGAGGCCAUGCAUUCAGCAAUUUCAAUGCAGGACUUGGAGAAAGAACUGCGCCACGAGAAACAUUACAAGUAUGUUACAUCGCAUGAUGUUGCCUAUUGGGCCAGGAGUUUUGAUCAGGACCUCGAAAGAGCUUGUGCUCAGUAUUACGAAAACAGGUGUUGGGGCAUUGGCUUUGGUUUGAAUAUCCGAGUUGUCGCCUUGGGGCCUCAUUUCAGGAAGCUUUCUGUGGAACACAUUGUUUCUGCAUAUAAGAAUACUAGUAGUAGGC
rnacentral:lncRNA from 1 species